rnacentral:rRNA from 5 species
CAUCCUCCAAGGCUAAAUACUCCUGACUGACCGAUAGUGAACCAGUACCGUGAGGGAAAGGCGAAAAGAACCCCGGCGAGGGGAGUGAAAAAGAACCUGAAACCGUGUACGUACAAGCAGUGGGAGCACAGGUUUACCUGUGUGACUGCGUACCUUUUGUAUAAUGGGUCAGCGACUUAUAUUCUGUAGCAAGGUUAACCGAAUAGGGGAGCCGGAGGGAAACCGAGUCUUAACCGGGCGUUAAGUUGCAGGGUAUAGACCCGAAACCCGGUGAUCUAGCCAUGGGCAGGUUGAAGGUUGGGUAACACUAACUGGAGGACCGAACCGACUAAUGUUGAAAAAUUAGCGGAUGACCUGUGGCU